rnacentral:rRNA from 1 species
CCUACGGGAGGCUGCAGUAAGGAAUAUUGGUCAAUGGACGAAAGUCUGAACCAGCCAUCCCGCGUGCAGGAUGAAAGCCCUAUGGGUUGUAAACUGCUUUUAGCAGAGAAGAAAAGCUUUCAUUAAUGAGAGUCUGACGGUAUCUGCAGAAUAAGCACCGGCUAACUCCGUGCCAGCAGCCGCGGUAAUACGGAGGGUGCGAGAGUUAUCCGGAAUUACUGGGUUGAAGGGGGAGGAAGAAGGCAUAUUAUAAAUCUUGUCGCUUAACGAUAAAAUUGCCAAGUAUACUGGUACUCUUGAAUUGGGUUGAGGUUAGCGGAAUGUGACAUGUAGCGGUGAAAUGCAUAGAUAUGUCAUGGAACACCAAUUGCGAAGGCAGCUAACUGGGCCUUGAUUGACGCUGAGGCACGAAAGCGUGGGUAGCGAACAGGAUUAGAUACCCUGGUAGUC